rfam:Rattus norvegicus chromosome 8, whole genome shotgun sequence.
GGGGAUUUAGCUCAAUGGUAGAGCGCUUGCCUAGCAAGUGCAAGGCCCUGGGUUCAGUCCCCA